CAAUAGCGUAUAUUAAAGUUGUUGCAGUUAAAAAGCUCGUAGUUGGAUUUCUGGUGAGAUGGAUUAUGUCUAGGUCGAAAGAUCUUGUUCAUGGUUCGUUUUGCCCUUCUUGUCAGGAAACCGCUGAGAUUCGCGUCUUGUCGGUGGAAUGGCAUCGUUUACUGUGAAAAAAUUAGAGUGUUCAAAGCAGGCAUCGCCGUUGAAUACAUUAGCAUGGAAUAAUAAGAUAAGACUUUGGUGGUCUAUUUUGUUGGUUUGCACGCCAAAGUAAUGAUUAAUAGGGAUAGUUGGGGGUAUUCGUAUUCUAUUGCUAGAGGUGAAAUUCUUAAAUUUAUGGAAGACGAACUACUGCGAAAGCAUUUACCAAGGAUGUUUUCAUUAA
rnacentral:rRNA from 1 species